CAGCAGCCGCGGUAAUCCGGAGGGGGCUAGCGUUGUCCGGAAUUACUGGGCGUGAAGCGCACGUAGGCGGCUUUGCAAGUCAGAGGUGAAAGCCCGGGGCUCAACUCCGGAAUAGCCUUUGAGACUGCAUCGCUUGAACACGGGAGAGGUGAGUGGAAUUCCGAGUGUAGAGGUGAAAUUCGUAGAUAUUCGGAAGAACACCAGUGGCGAAGGCGGCUCACUGGACCGUUGUUGACGCUGAGGUGCGAAAGCGUGGGGAGCAAACAGGAUUAGAUACCCGAGUAGUCCCUGUCUCUUAUAC
rnacentral:rRNA from 1 species